rnacentral:rRNA from 1 species
AUCAAUAAGCGGAGGAAAAGAAACUAACAAGGAUUCCCCUAGUAACGGCRARUGAAGCGGGAUGAGCUCAAAUUUGAAAGCUGGCCUCACGGUCCGCGUUGUAAUCUCGAGAACUGUUUUCCGUACCGGACCACGUACAAGUUCCUUGGAACAGGACGUCAUAGAGGGUGAGAAUCCCGUACUUGAUGUGGCCCCCGGUGCUUUGUGAUACAGCCUCAACGAGUCGAGUUGUUUGGGAAUGCAGCUCAAAAUGGGUGGUAAAUUCCAUCUAAAGCUAAAUAUUGGGGAGAGACCGAUAGCGAACAAGUACCGUGAGGGAAAGAUGAAAAGCACUUUGGAAAGAGAGUUAAACAGUACGUGAAAUUGUCAAAAGGGAAGCGCUUGGGAUCAGACAUGCCGUCUGGGAUUCAGCCUUGCUUUUGCUUGGUGUAUUUCCCAGUUGGCAGGCCAGCAUCGGUUUUGUCGGUCGGAUAAUAGUUGGAGGAACGUGGCACCGUUCGCGGUGUGUUAUAGCCUCUUUCUGGAUACGGCCGACGGGACCGAGGUACGCAGUGCGCCUUUUGGCGGGCCUUCGGGCACCUUCGCCACUUAGGAUGCUGGCGUAAUGGUUCUAACCGACCCGUCUUUGAAAC